UACAGAGGGUGCAAGCGUUGUCCGGAAUGACUGGGUGUAAAGGGUGCGUAGGUGGCCUUGUAAGUUAAAUGUGAAAGCCCGCAGCUCAACUGCGGAACUGCAUUUAAUACUGUGAGGCUUUGAGUGCAGGAGAGGUAAGUGGAAUUCCUAGUGUAGCGGUGGAAUGCGUAGAGAUCUGGAGGAAUACCGAUGGCGAAGGCAGCCGUCUGGCCUAAUACUGACACUGAGGUGCGAAAGCAUGGGGAGCAAACAGG
rnacentral:rRNA from 1 species